rnacentral:rRNA from 1 species
GACGAACCUUGCUAACGUUAUUCGGAAUUACUGGGCUUAAAGGGUGCGUAGGCGGUGCAGAAAGUUGGGUGUGAAAGCCCUCGGCUCAACCGAGGAAUUGCGCCCAAAACUGCUGCACUAGAGGAAGACAGAGGUACGCGGAACUUAGGUGGAGCGGUGAAAUGCGUUGAUAUCCUAAGGAACACCGGUGGCGAAAGCGGCGUACUGGGUCUUAUCGUGACGCU